UACGUAGGGUGCGAGCGUUGUCCGGAAUUAUUGGGCGUAAAGGGCUCGAUAGGCGGUUUGUCGCGUCGGGAGUGAAAUCCACUGGACUUCGAACUGGUGGCUUGCUUUCGAUUACGGGCAGACUGAGGUAUGCAGGGGAGAACGGGAAUUCCUGGUGUAGCGGUGAAAUGACGCAGAUAUCAGGAGGAACACCGGUGGCGAAGGCGGGUCGUCUCGGGCAACUACUGACGCUGAGGAGCGAAAGUGUGGGGAGCGAACAGG
rnacentral:rRNA from 1 species